ACUGAACCCAAACACGUUCCGU
rnacentral:siRNA from 1 species